CAGGCCGUGGCCUAGCAGCUAAGGCGCCUCACUCGGGUUGAGGAGAUCGAGAGUGCAAUUCUCUCCGGCCUGACAA
rnacentral:tRNA from 1 species